rnacentral:rRNA from 1 species
CCCUUUGGGAAGAAACAUGCUAUUCUCAAAGACUAAGCCAUGCACGUGCCAAGUUCAUACGAUCUUAUCGUGAGACUGCGGACGGCUCAGUAUAUCAGUGAUUAUCUGUUUGAUUGUCUUACCCAUUGGAUAACCGUGGGAAAUCUAGAGCUAAUACAUGCAAAUAAUUGGCGUUGCUGCAAGGCGCGCCAAAGCAUUUAUUAGACUUAACCAUCUACUGUGUGGCAACAUACAGUAAGGCGAAUCUAGAUAACUUUGCUGAUCGUAUGGCCUAGUGCCGACGACGUUUCAAUUGAGUUUCUGCCCUAUCAAUUUGUUGGUAAGGUAUUGGCUUACCAAGGUUGCAACGGGUAACGGGGAAUCAGGGUUCGAUUCCGGAGAGGGAGCCUGAGAAACGGCUACCACAUCCAAGGGAGGCAGCAGGCGCGCAAAUUACCCAAUCUAGACAGUAGGAGGUGGUGAAGAGAAGUACUUAGUGGUGACCAAAUGGUCCCAACUUGGAAUGAGGCCAAUUUAAGAAAUUCGUCGAGUAACUACUGGAGGGCAAGUCCUGGUGCCAGCAGCCCGCGGUAAUUCCAGCUUCAGUGGCCGUGAUUUAAAGUUGCUGCGUUAAAACGCUCGUAGUUGGGAUCAUGCAGUGAUAUUCAGUGACCAUAAAUGGUACAUGUAUACGAUUUUCUCCACCGAGUUUAUUGAAUCUGUNCCAUUUUGCGUGUUUAUGCUUGAAUGUUACUAUUUGCACACAAGUAUGGCAUUUGGCCUUUAGUGAGUUGAGUGUCAUGUCUUGUGGAGUGUGCCUUGAAUAAAACAG